rnacentral:rRNA from 1 species
UACGGAGGGAGCUAGCGUUGUUCGGAAUUACUGGGCGUAAAGCGCGCGUAGGCGGCUCAUCAAGUCAGGGGUGAAAGCCCGGGGGCUCAACCCUGGAACUGCCUUUGAAACUAGUGAGCUAGAAUCUUGGAGAGGCGAGUGGAAUUCCGAGUGUAGAGGUGAAAUUCGUAGAUAUUCGGAAGAACACCAGUGGCGAAGGCGACUCGCUGGACAAGUAUUGACGCUGAGGUGCGAAAGCGUGGGGGAGCAAACAGG